AUUGAACGCUGGCGGAAUGCUUUACACAUGCAAGUCGAACGGCAGCACGGACUUCGGUCUGGUGGCGAGUGGCGAACGGGUGAGUAAUGUAUCGGAACGUGCCCAGUCGUGGGGGAUAACGUAGUGAAAAUUACGCUAAUACCGCAUACGAGCUAUGGAUGAAAGCGGGGGAUCGCAAGACCUCGCGCGAUUGGAGCGGCCGCUAUCAGAUUAGGUAGUUGGUGGGGUAAAGGCCCACCAAGACAACGAUCUGUAGCUGGUCUGAGAGGACGACCAGCCACACUGGAAUUGAGACACGGUCCAGACUCCUACGGGAGGCAGCAGUGGGGAAUUUUGGACAAUGGGCGAAAGCCUGAUCCAGCCAUUCCGCGUGCAGGAUGAAGGCCCUCGGGUUGUAAACUGCUUUUGUACAGAACGAAAAGGUUUCUACUAAUACUAGGAGCUCAUGACGGUACUGUAAGAAUAAGCACCGGCUAACUACGUGCCAGCAGCCGCCGCGG
rnacentral:rRNA from 1 species